rnacentral:rRNA from 1 species
GACGAACGCUGGCGGCGUGCUUAACACAUGCAAGUCGGGCGGUAAGGCCCUUUCGGGGGUACACGAGCGGCGAACGGGUGAGUAGCACGUGGGUGACCUGCCCUCAGCUCUGGGAUAAGCCUGGGAAACCGGGUCUAAUACUGGAUAUGACUCCAUGACGCAUGUUGUGGGGUGGAAAGCCUUGUGCGGCUGAGGAUGGGCCCGCGGCCUAUCAGCUUGUUGGUGGGGUGAUGG